CUUCCUGUAUGAUACACUGAUGUAUUUUGAUGUCUCACCACUAGAGGUACUGUGAGCCGUCGGAGAACUCAUGCCAUCCUCAUGAACAAACUGUGGAGGCACCUUUGGGAGGCAAUUGGAGAAUAGCUCCACUACAGAAUUCAAUGGUGAGAGACCCAAAAUGACCCAAGACCAAAAAAACAUGAUGUCACCCAGUUCACCCGGGAGGACUCUGAUGGACAGCAAUCCUAAUUUCACUCCUGGGCCCAAGGUCAGUGGAGCCUGCUUCGGUCUUUUUGCGAGAAGUUGGCACAGACUUCAACAUGUUCUCAAGCAAUAAGAGACCCAGCACCGGUAGCCUUGGAAGAGACUGAGCCCUCCCCCUCCCCCGGGGCCAGCCCUUCUGCUGGUGAACAGCUCCACUCUGCUCCACUGAGGUGAAGUCCGUCUUAGCUGGCGCUUGUGUUGAGGCAAACAUCAGGAGGUGUGACAGCGUAUAACAGAAUUGGCCUCUUUGUGAGCUGGAGGUCUGACCCUUUGUUGUUAUUAAUCAAAGUGUCACUGAAAACAGUGUGGUUUGUUCACUUGCCGUGACAUUUUCGGCCGGGUCAGGAACAAAGACGUAGCCAGCCCACGUAAAGGCGCUAUACCACACAGAAGCACUUAACCUGCAGCAAUGAGUGCUCUGUAAUUGGGUAUAAUGUUCCUUUUUAAAGCGGAUG